rnacentral:rRNA from 1 species
GAUGAACGCUGGCGGUAUGCUUAACACAUGCAAGUCGAACGGUCUCUUCGGAGAUAGUGGCGGACGGGUGAGUAACGCGUGAGAAUCUAGCUUCAGGUCGGGGACAACCACUGGAAACGGUGGCUAAUACCGGAUGAGCCGGAAGGUAAAAGAUUUAUCGUCUGAAGAAGAGCUCGCGUCUGAUUAGCUAGUUGGUGGUGUAAGGGACUACCAAGGCGACGAUCAGUAGCUGGUCUGAGAGGAUGACCAGCCACACUGGAACUGAGACACGGUCCAG